rnacentral:rRNA from 1 species
GCAAGCCCGAGUUGUAAUUUGUAGAGGAUGCUUCUGGGUAGCGGCCGGUCUAAGUUCCUUGGAACAGGACGUCAUAGAGGGUGAGAAUCCCGUAUGCGACUGGCUUGCACCCUCCACGUAGCUCCUUCGACGAGUCGAGUUGUUUGGGAAUGCAGCUCUAAAUGGGAGGUAAAUUUCUUCUAAAGCUAAAUACCGGCCAGAGACCGAUAGCGCACAAGUAGAGUGAUCGAAAGAUGAAAAGCACUUUGGAAAGAGAGUUAAAAAGCACGUGAAAUUGUUGAAAGGGAAGCGCCCGCAACCAGACUUUGCGGCAGUGUUCGGCCGGUCUUCUGACCGGUUUACUCGCUGUCGUAAGGCCAUCAUCGUCUGGGACCGCUGGAUAAGACCUUAGGAAUGUGGCUCUCUUCGGGGAGUGUUAUAGCCUCUGGUGAUGCAGCGCGUCUCGGGCGAGGUCCGCGCUUCGGCAAGGAUGAUGGCGUAAUGGUUGUCGGCGGCCCGUCUUGAAACACGGACCAAGGAGUCUAACAUCUAUGCGAGUGUUCGGGUGUCAAACCCCUACGCGUAAUGAAAGUGAACGGAGGUGGGAACUUUUUGUGCACCAUCGACCGAUCCUGAUGUCCUCGGAUGGAUUUGAGUAAGAGCAUAGCUGUUGGGACCCGAAAGAUGGUGAACUAUG